AACAACUCACCUGCCGAAUGAAUUAGCCCUGAAAAUGGAUGGCGCUGAAGCGGGCAGCCGACACCGCGCCGUUCCGGCGAGACGAUGCCGGGAUGAGUAGGAGGGCGUGGCGGUCAGUGACGCAGGCGAGGGUGCAGACCCCGCUGAAACGGCCGCUAGUGCAGAUCUUGGUGGUAGUAGCAAAUAUUCAAGCGAGAUCCUUGAAGGGCGAAGCGGGGAAGGGUUCCACGCAAACAUUGAUUGGGCGUGGGUGAGUCGUUCCUAAGCCGAGUGGCAAUUGCUAAGUAGCGGCGAAAGGGAAGCGGGUUAAAAUUCUCGCACACGGAUAUGGAGGCGGCGACGCAAGCAGAGGCAAAUACGCUGGCGAGGGCGCUGGGCAGAGUUGUCUUUUCUGUUUGACCGGCAUCGCGCUGUGUGGAAUCCGCUUAUCGGGAGAAACACGCGCGGGGAGGGGCAGAGCGUCAGGUCUUUUCUGGCGUCCGGCUCGCCCUCGACGGCCCUUGAAAAUUUGCCCGCGAAUUUUAAAUUUCAUGCUGUGACGUACCGAUAACCGCAUCAGGUCCCCAAGGUGAACAGCCUCUGCUCAAUAUGAACAAU
rnacentral:rRNA from 1 species